rnacentral:rRNA from 1 species
CCUACGGGAGGCAGCAGUGAGGAAUAUUGGUCAAUGGACGAGAGUCUGAACCAGCCAAGUAGCGUGAAGGAUGAUUGCCCUAUGGGUUGUAAACUUCUUUUAUAUGGGAAUAAAAUGUUCCACGUGUGGGAUUUUGUAUGUACCAUAUGAAUAAGGAUCGGCUAACUCCGUGCCAGCAGCCGCGGUAAUACGGAGGAUCCGAGCGUUAUCCGGAUUUAUUGGGUUUAAAGGGAGCGUAGGUGGAUUGUUAAGUCAGUUGUGAAAGUUUGCGGCUCAACCGUAAAAUUGCAGUUGAAACUGGCAGUCUUGAGUACAGUAGAGGUGGGCGGAAUUCGUGGUGUAGCGGUGAAAUGCUUAGAUAUCACGAAGAACUCCGAUUGCGAAGGCAGUUCACUGGACUGCAACUGACACUGAGGCUCGAAAGUGUGGGUAUCAAACAGGAUUAGAUACCCCAGUAGUC